rnacentral:rRNA from 1 species
GAUGAACGCUAGCUACAGGCCUAACACAUGCAAGUCGAGGGGCAUCGGGAGGGAAGCUUGCUUCCCUUGCCGGCGACCGGCGCACGGGUGAGUAACGCGUAUCGAACCUGCCCCAUACCCGGGGAUAGCCUUGCGAAAGUAAGAUUAAUACCCGAUGGUUUCCUUUUAUCUCCUGAUAGAGGGAAUAAAGAAAUUCGGUAUGGGAUGGCGAUGCGUCCGAUUAGCUAGUUGGCGGGGGUAACGGCCCACCAAGGCGACGAUCGGUAGGGGUUCUGAGAGGAAGGUCCCCCACAUUGGAACUGAGACACGGCCCAG